rnacentral:rRNA from 1 species
UACGUAGGGUGCGAGCGUUAAUCGGAAUUACUGGGCGUAAAGCGUGCGCAGGCGGCGGCACAAGUCAGGUGUGAAAUCCCCGGGCUUAACCUGGGAAUUGCGCUUGAAACUAGGUCGCUUGAGUGUGGCAGAGGGGGGUGGAAUUCCACGUGUAGCAGUGAAAUGCGUAGAGAUGUGGAGGAACACCGAUGGCGAAGGCAGCCCCCUGGGUCAACACUGACGCUCAUGCACGAAAGCGUGGGGAGCAAACAGG